rnacentral:lncRNA from 10 species
GAGAAAAUCAAGUUAAAAAACCAGACAGGAUGCUCCUUAAUAAGGGCUGCUCAAUUCACCACUCCUCCCUCCAGGCUUUGCGGGGAGCCGGAGGGGGAAUUCUGAGUGACCACUGGGGCCUCUACCGCCCACCCCAUCCGCCAGUCCCCACCAGACACUGCCUGGAGCCAGGGUCCUCCCCACUCUGGCCCUGAAGGAACCUUCAGGAAAUGGAGGAAGUAUGGACACAGCCCAGGCAUUUGGUUAAGUAUUUUUAAAAAGCUUUCCAAUUCUGCUAUUUUUUUCUCCUCACAUUCAAUAUUCUUGGUUGCUAAGUGGGAGGGAAUGUGGGGAGGUGGGAGAGGUGUGGGGAACUGAGGGGAAAUUGGCAACACGAAGCUGAUGGGUUUAUUUUUUCAUUUCUAAAGGGGGUACAGGCAAAGGAAAGCGCUCCGGCGCCGAGGCAACCUGCCUGGGCAGCAUCUCCUGCUAGCUGGUUCGGAGGCAGACUCCCCCAAAUCCUGAAGAUUUCAUAGGCCAGGAGUGGGGGCUUUCAGGGGAGAUAAAUAUGGACAGUUUCUAUUUUUGCUUCCAGACUUAGAAAUGUAGAAUUUUAAAAAAAUUAAAAUGAUCUUUAUUUUGAGAACAUAUCCACAAAAGGGAAGAGGCCAGUCUCAUGAUUACCUUUCACCAAGCGAAGGGCGGGUGCGCCCAGCAGCACAGCGCCGCGCCGCUGUUCCUGUGCUUGGGAAGGGGACUUCCAGCUGGGGGGGAGGUGGGGGCUGGGGCUGCCUGGCGGUGGGCAGGGCAGGGGCUGGACAGCUCAUGGCUUUCCAGGCAGAGCUCUCUUCCUUCCAGGUGCACUGCCCGCAGGGCCUGGGGUCACGGGUCUGUCUAUCAGUUUCCAGGGGGUCCAUCCCCUUAACAGGGCCCUGACUUUGAACAUUUUUUUUUAACUGCAGAAACAUUUGUAAAACAAUCUCACAGGGAACCCCAUCUCUGUUCUGCUGCCUCCGUAGCCCUCCCUCCCUGCUGGUCUCUGCAGACCACGGCCACCAGCCCACUGCCCGCCUCACCCUUCGUACUCAUUUAUAUUUUAGGUGACAUAUUUUUAGGCCCCUGACUCUUAAAAGCAUGAUAUCAGCUGACCAGACACCUUACUAGGAAAGUAAAAAAUACUCUGAGUAUUGGAGCAGUUGUGUGAAUUCACUUGAAUCAUUACAUCCCUUCUCAUUAAAUGACUUCCUUCACUUAGUAAUCUAAACAUAUGCAAGGGAAAACUGUGCAAGACUUGGAAAUGGGCAAAUAGGUGGGUGUCUGUCCGUGGAAUGCUGGGGGUUGACCAGCAGACCUUCCCCGGGUUAUCUGACUCUAAAGGGCAGGCACCGUUGACUCACUUCCCAUUGACGGAGCUACUUUACAGCUCUGUAGGGGUAGAAAUUAACCCGCGGAAAACUGAUAAUAAAGCAAGUGAAUUUUGUUUGGGGGAGAGACAACUGAUGUCACCCUGCAGUAAAGAACCCCAAACGAUAUCUUUCAUCAUCUUAUAGGAUGUUGUUUUUGUAUCUACUUGCAAAUCAUUUCAGCAUUCCUGCCUAUGAGUAUCUGUUCUUCAAACUCUUCUGUGAAUAGGUCUUAACAUUUUCCUGGUUCCUGCAUUAGUUAAUAAGGUAAAUAAAAUCUUUGACAUGUGUUUGAUAGUCGUAUGCAUCAUGAUUUUAACUUUUUCACAGUGAUAUUUUAUGCCAAUAGCCACUUCUCUUCUUAGUAGCAUGCGGCCUGAUGUCUGUGCAGGUCUUUUAAAUAUUGCUGCAGGAACCCCAUCUGGACCACAUAAAUGACUGGUCUAUACAUAAAUUACCAGAAAGAUAAGACUGGUCAAAGGAGUUAGGUAAACGGGUGUUAGAGAGAAACUGGAUAGAGAUCCAUUGUGAACUGAGUCCAGUGGGUCACUAUGGCAGUGAAAGCAAAAGAAACCCAGGAUCUGGAGGCUUCAUCAGCCACUGGGAAAACAGCCCCUUAAACAUGGAGUGUGAAGCUCCACUGCUAUCAUCUGCCACUUGUGGGGGCCUGGAGGUGCACAGGGGUGACAGAGUUAAUGCCUGCUAAAUGCCAAUCAGAGAAGGCACUGAUAGGCAGGGACCCAUGCAAAAGCCACGCAAAGCAGGCCCUGCUGGCCUCUUACCUGGGGUUGGUGAGGUUGUAGCAGGAUUUCCAUAUCUGCAGCAUGUGCUUACAAGUCAGCAGUGCCUCGUCCGGGCCUCGGCAGAGUGACUGCAACUUCACUUUGGAAAACAGUAGUCUGCAGUGGGGAGACAAAGGGAGAAAACACCACGGCUCAAGCCACAGAGUCCCCAUCCCAGCAAGACAAGUGGUGGGCUUAGACCCAGAAGCAGCUGUACUCAUUUCAGAAAGGGAACAUCCACAUGUGUGGUCCAAGGAAAGCGGGAUUCCAGAACUCCUGGCUCAAGGUGUUGCUUUGCACAAGUCUCACCACUAACGCAAAUGCAAGCACGAUGUGACUAUUUGUGGUCAGGCUGAAAGCAUUAGAGUGGCCAAUUUUAUUCAGAACACAGGGAAUUUAUUAAAAGCAUGCUUUUUAGAACCAAACCAAUUUAUUUGUGAAACCUCAAAAACUCAUUAAAAGCGAACCUUGGUUUAUUUACAGAAUUACACAGGAGAUUUGACUCAGUUGAUAUAAAUAUCUACAGAUAACCCUCCACAAUGAUGCUCACCGUCGUGUGAGCUUCGAAAGCCUGAACGGAAGUCCCAUGAAGAAGGGCAGCCUCCGGCAUAGGCCCUCAGCUCCUGUGUCUUCCCAUUCCUGCUACUGAGGGCCUAGGGCUCGUUCCGCAAUCACCUAGGUCUCUCUUCUGUAUUUUUGUUACCAUCAACUACUCCACCCUCCAUCCAGACCUUCUGGGCACUAAGCUCAGAAUGUUCUCUCUUUCGUGGCCCCACAGGGUAAUGCCAUUUCCAGAUUCUACUUAUGUUUCUCUGCCGACAUCAGCCUAGGUACCUGUAGACAUCAGCUCUCCUGGCCCCUGGACUUGUCACCACUAUCCUAGUAAAAGUCCCAGUAUGAGCCCAGCUUCCUUCCUGGUGUUCUUCCUGUCCCCUGACUUACCCGCUCUCACACAUCUUAUUAUAAAGAUCUCCAAAAAUCAUUCUUUUCCCCAAGACGGAGUCUUGCUCUGUCACCCAGGCUAGAGUGCAGUGGCACGGUCUUGGCUCACUGCAACCUCUACCUCCUAGGUUCAAGUGAUUCUCCUGCCUCAGCCUCCUGAGUAGCUGGGAUUACAGGCAUCCGCCACCACGUCCGGCUAAUUUUUGUAUUUUUAGUAGAGGUGGGGUUUCACCAUGUUGGCUAGACUGGUCUUGAGCUCCUGACCUCGUGAUCCUCCCAAAGUGCUGGGAUUAUAGGCAUGAGCCACCGCUCCCAGCCCCCAAAAAUCAUUUUUGUUCUCACCUCGAGAAACUACAAUGAUCCCUUACUUAUACUGUCUGUAAUAAUAAGUCAAAAUUCUGUAUCUCAUCGUUUAAGGCACUCCACCAACUAGCCACUCUUCUUUCACUGUCUCAUCCGAUUGGACCCUUUACUUCUGCCAAUGUAAUUCAUAGGCCAAAUGCUACUUUUCUGGCACAACUCUAUGGCUACACAUGCCACGUCCCCAACUUCAACUUCUACUCAUGCACAUCUUUCUUUAAUUCUUCCCAAACCCAGCCAAAACCCCACUUAAAUAAGUAAGUCUUCAAGUUUUAACCCCUUAUCUUCUCUACUCAGUAUGUGCCAUAUUAGCUGGCAUUUGUUGUUAAUAAUAAAAAGAAGAAAAAGAGAGGGAGGAGCUCCUGCUGACCGAAGGCAUCCCACGUGCCAGGCCUUGUGUUUGGCACUUCACACGCUGUCAAUGUCCUUGGAAGAAGCUGUCAAGGCAGGUGGUGUCUAACACUCUUCAACAGAUAUGGAAACUGAAGCUCUGGUGCCCUUUGGUUGUUUUCUGGAUGUGAUUUUCUUCCUGAGGACAAGAGCCCUGACAUCUCUCUCUGCCUCUCUGUAGCCUCACCUCCAGUUCCAAGAAUUGUGCUCUGAGUUUGAUGGGCCUUAAAUCAGCAUUUACUCACUGACUACUUUUUCUAUAAAGCAAGGCAUUUUAGAGAUUUCAGCUGGACAUCCAGGAGAAUUCCUUCACCCUGCAUGAUGUGAUGUCCUCAUUCAAAGGUACCUUAGAGGAGGAAAGUCUCUUUUUCAUGUGUGAGAGGUGGAAUGAAAGUGGUCCUAACCCAUCACUGCCCAAGCUCAGGAUGGGUUCACACCAAGCGCCCCCAGCGACCCCUCCAAAUGGAACAUAGGAAGUCCAGGGCGGUGCGGUGCUCCCAGUGGGGCCACGGCUGCAGCCUCCCCAUGCCUGGGCUUGCAGAAGCCUGGAAUGAUGGGACGAGGGCCAGGUAAAGGGAGGAAUGUAGUCUCUGAUCUACAAGCAGAUGAGCAUAAAGAGCGAGGCUAGAUGUGAGAAUAGGGCUCAGCUUCUGCUCAAAAACAUCCCAAGAAGCGGAAAUGCUUUGGAAGCCUUACCAAGACUGCCUAAAUGGGAUGGCAGCCGCUCAGGGUGCCUCUGUGGGGAUUAAAGACACCAGAAGCUGGCUCCUGCUGAAGCCUGCCCGAGUCCAGAACAAGAUGGGAGUACUUUUCCACCAGAAUCUCUCACCAAACAGGGGUCAACUGGGAGAGUUGACAAAGGAAGGAGAAGCUGCCAAACAGGUCACCAUUGGGUAGAGAGGGUGGUAAGGCAUGAGUGCCAAGCAAUUGCGGCAAGGGGAGGCCCCAUGGAGGACUGUGGGGGGUCCAGGAAGCCGUGCACGUGCUGCACAGGCUGGAGCUCUCUGGGGGCCAUGCCAAGAACUCCCCUCCAAUGGCGCCUGCCCCCAGAGGAGGUGCCUGCCCCACAGCGGGCAGUGGGGUGCCUCUAAUAGCAAUGAACUGUGGUUCCUUUAACUGUACCCAAAGGACAGAAUGCCAGAGUGCGUCUCUAAGCCUCAGCUUGGGGGAACAGUUUUGAGCAAGCCUUCUUGGCUGGAAAAAGAACUUCUAAUUAACAUAAAAUAACAGCUUUCAAACACUUGACUCAGGAUAUGGAAUUGAAAAGGUGUGGGCUUGCAUUUCAGAGAACCAGACAGGAAGAACAAUGGUAGAGUGGCUGAGCACAAACGAUGGAAAAAAGCACUUGGAAGACCUCUCAAGAGGAACAGCAUGAGAGAGGCUGGCAGAGAAAAGGAGCCAGGGACACAGCAGGGACAAAGAGGAAAGCCUGACAGCUGCUGCCUAGGCAGGAAUGCAAAAUGGCUGUGCAGAAAAGCAUGCGGGAUCUGCCCAAGCGGGGCAGCGGCUGAGGGGGCCCUGGAUACCUUCCCCAUCUCUUGCUGCCUCCUGUCCAGAUCGGGGGAGCUGGAGUGAGGCUGGCUGUCAAAUAUCCGAAGGAAAGUGAGCAUCUGUCACCAGGCUGCCACCAACUCGCCUGUGUCCAAAGGCCUCCCUCCCUACUGGUAUCCCUGGGGUGGUUACUGUGUGCUCACUCCUUCCAGACAUCCUUCAGGUAUCAGUGGAUCAUUUCUCUAGUUUAAUGAGAUGAACAGCCUCUUUCCUUGUGGUCUAACUUCUUAUCAAAUGCUAAUUUAGUGGGCAUGUUCAUUGCUUCAUCACUCAGCUCAGGCAAAAAAUUUGCCCACAACCCCUGGUCAAUUUAAAUCACCAAAAUUGUUUUAAUCACUAAAUCAAAACAUUAUUCAAUAUGAUGUUUCAACUUAAACUGAACUUCUCUGAGAGUAUGUGUGUGUGUGCCCGAGUGAAAAAGAAACAUUAGUCUCACUUGCCAAGUAAUGAUUUAAAAAAAAAUUA